rnacentral:rRNA from 1 species
UACCCUGGUAGUCCUAGCCGUAAACGUUGGGUGCUAGGUGUGGGCGGAUAUCGACCCCGUCCGUGCCGAAGCUAACGCAUUAAGCACCCCGCCUGGGGAGUACGGCCGCAAGGCUAAAACUCAAAGGAAUUGACGGGGCCCCGCACAAGCGGCGGAGCAUGCGGCUUAAUUCGAUGCAACGCGAAGAACCUUACCUGGGUUUGACAUGCAGGGUGAAACCCGUGAAAGCGGGCGCUCUUCGGAGCCUGCACAGGUGGUGCAUGGCUGUCGUCAGCUCGUGCCGUGAGGUGUUGCCUUAAGUGGCGCAACGAGCGCAACCCCUGUCNUUAGUUGCCAGCGGAUCAUGCCGGGAACUCUAGGGAGACUGCCGGUGCCAACCGGAGGAAGGUGGGGAUGACGUCAAGUCAGCAUGCCCCUUAUACCCAGGGCUGCACGCAUGCUACAAUGCGCGAUACAGAGGGCUGCGAUCCCGUAAGGGGGAGCGAAUCCCAAAAAGUCGCGCUCAGUUCGGAUCGAGGUCUGCAACCCG